ACAAACUUGGUCAUUUAGAGGAAGUAAAAGUCGUAACAAGGUCUCCGUUGGUGAACCAGCGGAGGGAUCAUUACCGAGUUUCACAACUCACCAACCCACUGUGAACAUACCAAAGUUGCCUCGGCGGAAGGCUACGGCCGGAAGCCGAGGGCCCUGAAACCUCUGUAUUUUACAAAGUGUGUCCUCUGAGAAAAUAAACAAUCAAUCAAAACCUUCAACAACGGAUCUCUUGGCUCUGGCAUCAAUGAAGAACGCAGC
rnacentral:misc_RNA from 1 species